AUUGAACGCUGGCGGCAUGCUUUACACAUGCAAGUCGAACGGUAACAGGCCGCAAGGUGCUGACGAGUGGCGAACGGGUGAGUAAUGCAUCGGAACGUGCCCAGUCGUGGGGGAUAACUACUCGAAAGAGUAGCUAAUACCGCAUACGAUCUAUGGAUGAAAGCGGGGGACCGUAAGGCCUCGCGCGAUUGGAGCGGCCGAUGUCAGAUUAGGUAGUUGGUGGGGUAAAGGCUCACCAAGCCAACGACCUGUAGCUGGUCUGAGAGGACGACCAGCCACACUGGGACUGAGACACGGCCCAGACUCCUACGGGAGGCAGCAGUGGGGAAUUUUGGACAAUGGGCGCAAGCCUGAUCCAGCAAUGCCGCGUGCAGGAAGAAGGCCUUCGGGUUGUAAACUGCUUUUGUACGGAACGAAACGGCUCUGGUUAAUACCCGGGGCUAAUGACGGUACCGAAAGAAUAAGCACCGGCUAACUACGUG
rnacentral:rRNA from 1 species